CAUUAUUCAGGUGUUGCUAAAUUUUCAAACAAAAUACAAACAAAAAUUUUAGAAAGGAAAGAAGAGUAGACAGACCCACAUAAGGAACAAAGGAACUGAUUGAAACUCUUCAAAGUUCUAAUCAAUCCAAUAAUGCCUAUUCGCGUAUCGAAGUUCGACCAUCAAACCAAUAAUUCACCAAGACCUAAAAAAAUUAUCCAAUUUGAAAUGUACUUUUUCAGACAAUACAAAAUUUGAUAUUGUAUCAUGUUUGGGCGGUUGGAUUCGAAACAUGAAUGUGUUCUGUGAGAACAUAUCUCAAACACUUGAAACUGAUCCACCAAUCUCCUUAAACUUCACCCAUUCAGCAUCCCUUAUAACACCACCAAACUCCUCGUAAUCUUCUGAUUUCUCCAUUACUAAACCAUGUAAAAACAUUUGAAACAAGUAGAAAUCCAUCGAAUAUAAUCCAUUGAAGAAGAAAACAACAAUAGUACAAAUCCAUUGAAGAUAAUCUGCCUUCUCAAAUAACAAAAAUCGAGCAACUCUAGAUCUAACUUUAUAACAAAAAAAAAAAAAAAAAAAACCAACAAAUUUUAAAUUUUACCCGAAGACAUGAAGAAGAAGAUUUCCAGCACCAAGCACCAUUUAUCGAUUUUCGAAAUUAGAAUAUUCAUUGCUGGACACGACAUGUUAAACCAAUACAAUGAAUAGAGAUGUUAAACCAUUUUUCAUCAACCAUGCUUACAGUAGGAGUAAUUGUACCUUCUUCAUCAUUGAAUGAAUAUAUACAGGCAUGAUGACCAUAAAUACAACCUUAUUAUUCUGCAAUUGAUUAAGAAGGGAUCUUUAAUCAAUUGCUAAAAGCAAAAUUAAGCGAGAAGCCCCAUGAUUUUUACCUACAACUAAACUAUUUUUGUGGCUUCAUAAUCAAUCUUCCAUGAAACCUUAAUACCGCCACCAUAACUAGCUAAACACGAUACAACAACAUCAAUUGAUUUUACCAUUUUUUCUAUUGAUUUCUAGAGAGAAUCCAGAUCAAAAACAUCAGAAAAGCAUACAUUGGCUCCAUUUAAUUGUACUAAAGUUUCUACUUUGUUAAUUUUGCUUUAAUUCCACUUUUCUCUCUUGCAAUAGCUAUAACAUUAAAACCCCUAUUUACAACUCUUUUUAAGCACAAAUUUGCCAAUGUAACCAGUUGAACCCACAAUCAAAAUAUGCAAAAUCAAGAACCAGAAUAUGCAAAACUGCUGUAAAUUGAUGUCAUUAAACUUAUUUAGAUACAAGAAUUGAACGAUACAAGAAGAGAGCGAUCAUACCAGAAUAACAGAUAUAUCAUCAGGGAAACCAUAUUUGAUAAUUAGAUCUGCGUUCUCAUGCAUAUCUAAUCCCAUGAAAUUGUAUAAUCGCAGGUUGUGCUUUGAAGUAGAAAACCAUCGACUCAUCUCUCAUCAAUCUAUCUUCCCUGCACAUCAUCAUCACCACCAUCUAAGAACUCAAAUCGCAAGGGUAGUUUUGGCAUUACAAGAAUUUCAUGGAACCAAUAAAACGCGAUUUUAUCUUGAAAACUAAUCGUUUUCCGUAUCAUUUGGACUUAAGAUAUUGUA
rnacentral:lncRNA from 1 species